GAUGAACGCUGGCGGCGUGCCUAAUACAUGCAAGUCGAGCGAACGGACGAGAAGCUUGCCUCUCUGAUGUUAGCGGCGGACGGGUAAGUAACACGUGGAUAACCUACCUAUAAGACUGGGAUAACUUCGGGAAACCGGAGCUAAUACCGGAUAAUAUUUUGAACCGCAUGGUUCAAAAGUGAAAGACGGUCUUGCUGUCACUUAUAGAUGGAUCCGCGCUGCAUUAGCUAGUUGGUAAGGUAACGGCUUACCAAGGCAACGAUGCAUAGCCGACCUGAGAGGGUGAUCGGCCACACUGGAACUGAGACACGGUCCAGACUCCUACGGGAGGCAGCAGUAGGGAAUCUUCCGCAAUGGGCGAAAGCCUGACGGAGCAACGCCGCGUGAGUGAUGAAGGUCUUCGGAUCGUAAAACUCUGUUAUUAGGGAAGAACAUAUGUGUAAGUAACUGUGCACAUCUUGACGGUACCUAAUCAGAAAGCCACGGCUAACUACGUG
rnacentral:rRNA from 1 species